GGGUAGGCGCCGGAUGAACGGGCAUCAUUGAUGUUGUUGAGCAUGGGAUAAAUAUCCUCCUGCCUU
rnacentral:tRNA from 1 species